GAAGCCAUAGCAGAGUGGUGUUGUUCCUGGUGGGGAACCAGGAAGUCCUGGGUUCGAUCCCCCACCCAUUCC
rnacentral:tRNA from 1 species